AUGAGAAACAAUAAUGAACAGUAUGUGGAAAAUAAUGUGUUUUUGAACCUUAAACCGCAUAAACACAUUUCAUUACACCAAAUACACAAAAUAAUUUUAUUUUUAGCAGCAUCAUAUGACCCCUUUAACAUGCUGGAACAACCUCUAGUUUGUCAGACAACACAUCAAAGGUGUUAUGGGUGGUUGCCAGGGUGUUAUUAUGUGGUUGCUAAAGUUUUUAAUGUAAUAUGCGUACUAUUUUAAAUAGGGUUUUAAGGUGUUUUUGAUUCCUUUUCAGUUUUCUUUGGUGGUUGCUAGGGUGUUCUGAGUAGUUGCUUAUGGGCUUGAGUAAAAUGAACCCAAGUCUCUGUGACCUUAUUUUCCCUAGAUAUAAGUCAGUGGAAUUUAUUUUAGUCCACACUUCUCCUCAACAAGCCAUGAUUUGCACUUGUGUUAUUUAAAGUGGAAAGACUGAAUGAAUGAAAGCCUGUCACCCUAUAAACAUUGUUCAUUGCUUAACAGAACUAUAAUUAUGUACUUUGACAAAUUGGGAGACAAAGAUGUGUGUCAUUCUGUUAUUGAUCUAAAAUAUCGAUCACAAAAGAUUAAACCCCUUGGUGCACUGCUUAUCACACACACACAACUAUAAUGAACCGGGUAAGAGGGGGAUAAAAAGGAGAAACUGUCACAGAGUCAACAACAUCUACAGCACCAGUGCAUAAAGCACCUUAAGUUUUUUCCUUAAGUAUGAGACUUAAGGCGUGAUUUCCCCUUACCUAAGGGAAUGACUUAAGGGUGUUCCAUAUAAUCCCUUAACACUUCCCUCAGCAAAGGUAAACUGUUAAGUGUUUCACGACAGCGACCCAGGUUUUGCCAUUAAAAAAAUCUGUUGCCAUGAUUAUUUGUUAAUGCAGAUAGCGUAAGUUUUCGCAGAAAACAUUAUAACAUGGAUAAAGAAAACAAAAACGAAAACCAUAUACAGUAUGAAAGAGAGGGACCAGAUGAGACUGAAACUCAAAUUGAUAAUUCACUCAAAACUGAAAAUUCUGAAAAAUCAUUUACUCACCCUUGUGUCAGUUAACACAUACUUUUAUUCAUAUUUGGACAACAAAUAAAGAUCUCUCAUCAUUUCUGUCCA
ensembl:lncRNA